rnacentral:lncRNA from 1 species
GUAACAUGAAGACUGAAUUUUGACAACAUGGCAAUCAAUGGAAUAAGAAAAAAGAAAAGAAUUGCAUUAGGCUCAGAGAGGUUAAGCAAUCUACCCAAGAUCACACAGCAAGGCAGUAAAAGGCCAGAACCCAGGAUUCUUGGCUUCCCAAGAGCACCUCCCAUCCUGGCCCCCCAUCAGUGCCUCCCUAUCAGGGCUGAUGACCUGGUGCCGCCAGCACAGGUGGGUGGGAGGCCGUCAAGGUCCCUCCUGGUGGGUGGGAAAGAACAGAGCUCACGCUGACCAUCCUCCCCUGCCCUGCCCAGGCUUGGGUGUAGAAGACCCUGUGGGUGAAGUCUCUGUCCAUGUUGAGCUGUUCACUCAUCCAGGAACUGGGGAACACAAGGUCACAGUGAAAGUGGUGGCUGCCAAUGACCUCAAGUGGCAGACUUCUGGCAUCUUCCGGCCGUUCAUCGAGGUCAACAUCAUUGGGCCCCAGCUCAGCGACAAGAAACGCAAGUUUGCGACCAAAUCCAAGAACAAUAGCUGGGCUCCCAAGUACAAUGAGAGCUUCCAGUUCACGCUGAGCGCCGACGCGGGUCCCGAGUGCUAUGAGCUGC